GGUCGUAGCUCAGUGGUGGAGUAUCUGCUUUGCAUGUAGAAGGUCCCAGGUUCAAUCCCUAACAGCAUCA